AAUAGAAUUUUCAAAAGCUGGACUGAUCGCAGGACUGAGUGUCACAUUUCUGCUCAUUUUCGCUCUGGUCUUGCUGUGGUUCUGCAAACGCAAAGGUGCAGGAUCUCCAUGUUCCUCUACUGACCAUCAGCCGCAAAACAUCAAACAGACAUCAGAACAGAAGACGAGUGGACAAACACCACCGCAGUCCGAUACCAUAUAUGGUCCUUCUUAUGUGUCCUAUGCAAAGAUUAACCUGAAAUCCAUGAAUGAAAUUAAGGAGAAAAAGAAAGACCAAGGUAUGAAACCAAACCUGCUGAGAUGUAUUUGCAGUUGU